GACGAACGCUGGCGGCGUGCCUAAUACAUGCAAGUCGAGCGGACAGAAGGGAGCUUGCUCCCGGAUGUUAGCGGCGGACGGGUGAGUAACACGUGGGUAACCUGCCUGUAAGACUGGGAUAACUCCGGGAAACCGGAGCUAAUACCGGAUAGUUCCUUGAACCGCAUGGUUCAAGGAUGAAAGACGGUUUCGGCUGUCACUUACAGAUGGACCCGCGGCGCAUUAGCUAGUUGGUGAGGUAACGGCUCACCAAGGCGACGACGCGUAGCCGACCUGAGAGGGUGAUCGGCCACACUGGGACUGAGACACGGCCCAGACUCCUACGGGAGGCAGCAGUAGGGAAUCUUCCGCAAUGGACGAAAGUCUGACGGAGCAACGCCGCGUGAGCGAUGAAGGUUUUCGGAUCGUAAAGCUCUGUUGUUAGGGAAGAACAAGUGCAAGAGUAACUGCUUGCACCUUGACGGUACCUAACCAGAAAGCCACGGCUAACUACGUGCCAGCAGCCGCGGUAAAAC
rnacentral:rRNA from 1 species